rnacentral:rRNA from 1 species
UGAGGAACAUGACUUUCGGCGGGGGAGUAGCCGGCCCCAACGGCCGGGUAAUACCGCGUACGACCUUUCGGGGACAUCCCCGGUUGGUGAAAGCAGCAAUGCACCGAAAGAGUGCCUCGCGGCCUAUCAGCUAGUUGGUGAGGUAACGGCUCACCAAGGCGACGACGGGUAGCUGGUCUGAGAGGAUGGCCAGCCACAUUGGGACUGAGACACGGCCCAGACCUCCGUACGGGGAGGCAG